AAAAUAAAAAAAAUAAAAAAAAAAUAGGGUCAUUUUCCAUGUAAGGCAAAUGUUAUAACUAUUACAUCAGUAAGAAAAAAUGUAAUUGCUGCGAAGGAGAAACAGAAGGCAAUCUGCAUCACAAAAUGUGAACUAAACAAGUUAUAGGGAAAUACUGGCAUGUCGAGAGAUCACAUUUUUAUGGGUGCAAGUUAAAUACAGGUCAGUGUAUAGUGUCACCUUGCUGAAAAACCAAAUUUCAUUACCUCAUGGAUUAAUAGCUUUGCUGUAUGAGCUAGAUGAAUGCAAUGCAGAACAAUGGACCUUCCAAUCAAGUGGGAGAAAAACUAAUAAGAACGGGGUUUACAAUUUCUUCAGAUUAUCUGGAAAUAAUGGGAAAACUGGAGUAUAGAGCUAUAUGACUUAGGACAUUCAUUUCUGUUUGGCAAGGAAGCCCAGAAAGAGAAUGCAUUAGAAAUGAUGAGGUAGUAUGCAAUCCUGAUAAUAUUGCUAGUUAUCUGAACAUGAUGGACUUCAGCAGAUGAUGCCAACCCCAAAAGCACAUGAUCAAGUCCAUCUUAUUCAUAUUGUGGUCUUACGCCCAUGUUGCUCAAUGUAAGAAAAUUCACCAAAGACCCAACUUAAAGUCCUCUUCAACUAAACAUUGCAAACAACCACCCUCAAAGUGAAAUCUGGCUUGGCAUGCAACAAGUUGAAGAAAGUAUUUCAGAUACUUAGAAGAUGUAAUUUUGUCAACAGAACCUGUUCAGGAGGAACCGAAAGCAUCGCAGCGAGACUUGCGAAAAUCGAGCCAGACAAACUGUUGCCAGGAGAUCUUCAAACUAGAAUCCUCUUGGAGGGACGGUGAAGAAAGAGAGGCACCUCAGAUGACCAAGAAGAACAGGCAAGUUCCUCAGAGGGUUGGGGGUAGCUCUUUCAUCCAGUGGUCAGGAUGGUGGCCAUUAAAAUGACCACUCUAAGCUGGGGCAACCGGACUAAGAUUUGUGCAGGAGCAAUGUUUGAAUGGAGUAUUGCUACCGGGUGAGUGAUUGGCCAACUCAUAGGGUAAAAAGAAACUUUCUAAAAGCUUAAAAGAGGUCCCAGUGUGAAAUAAGUGGCUAAUUAGACCUUGGGAAUGUUAAUUGAAGGAGAAGAACAAAGAGGAAGUUAAAGGACUAAAGCCCAAAAAAGAAAGCUUUCUAUCUGGACUUAAAACUGGAUUUGGAGAAAUAAAAACAAUACAGGGAAAAGAAAACUGAGAGAAAGCACCUUUUAACAACAAAAGGAAAAGAAAUUGAAAAGAAAGUACUUUUUAUGUGGAUUUAAAAAUGCUACUUGGCUACCUUGGGAUUUGUGGAUUGGAGAGAGGCAUCUGCUAAUGGAAAGACUUUGACCAUGAGAAAUAUUAAGGAGUAUUUGUUUAAACAGCUGGGUUCUGACUUUGAAAAGAGGUGAAAAAGAACAAAGCCUUAAAUUGGAAUGGACUAGAACUGAAUGUUAUUUGGAAAUAAAAAAGAAAAUAGAGACACUAUGUGGAUUUGAAUUUGAAUUACACAUAAACUAAAAUUUUAAAAAAUUGAAUUGACAGUAUGGAAUAUUGGGAGUAUGAGGAACUAAUGGAGAUGUUUAAGAAGGUGUAGGAAGCAUUUAAGGAUAAUAAAGAAGCGGAAGCCUGGUUAGAAUAUUAAAAAAAAGGAAAAAGAGAAUACAAAUGAGAAGCAAGAACAUGAUGUUGAAGGGAAAACAAUUGAAGAUAAAAAGAUAGACAAUUACACUGGGAUUGACAAAAAAAUGGAUAGGGGGAAUAUUCCUCAAAAAAGAAGGGAAGAGAAGGAAAUGGGAAAAGUCUGAGGGGGAAAAUUAAGAAGGUAACAAUCUUAAAAAACUAGAGAAAGGAUUCGGGGAAAGAUACAAUAAAUAUAAAAAUAAAAAUAAAAUAAGAGAAUGGGAGAAAGGGAGAAAAAGAUUAAGAAAUGGAAUUCUGGAGAGACCAAGAGAAAAUGGUUAAAAGGUGAAGAAUAAUGGAUAGAAGGAAGGGAAUUAAAGCAUUUAUUAGUUGAUUUAAGGGAAUGGUGUUAGUAGUAAAAUUGUAUGUAAGAAGCAAUUUUUUUAAAAAAAAUUUACAUUUAUAUCCCGCCCUUCUCCGAAGACUCAGGGCAGCUUACAUUGUGUAAGGCAAUAGUCUCAUUCUAUUUGUAUAUUUAUAUACAAAGUCAACUUAUUGCCCCCCCAACCAUCUGGGUCCUCAUUUUACCUACCUUAUAAAGGAUGGAAGGCUGAGUCAACCUUGGGCCUGGUGGGACUCGAGCCUGCAGUAUCUUACAGCCUGAGCCACACCGCGGCCCAAAUUAGAAAAAGUAUAUUGCUUAUUGUAAAAUGGAUCAGCAGAUGUAAUCUGAAAUCCAGAUUGUUUAACUAUGAAAAUAACUGAAAUUAAGAUAGUAAAUUGAAAUGCUAGUAAACGAUGUAUGUAAGAAGCAAAAAGAAGUAUCUUGUUUAUUGUAAAAUGGAUCAGCAGAUGCAAUAUAGAUUGGUUUAAAUGUGAAAAUAACUGAAAUUGAGAUAUAAAAUAGAAAUGCUAAUAAAUGAGGAAAAUAAUUAAUUGGUGUUGGAAUAAGAAAUUAGGAAUUAAAAAAACUAAGAGGUAGAAGGUCAGUUUACUUAAAAGGUUUCAAGAUAAAAAUGGAAUAAGUUGAAAUACAUUGUUAAUAAUCAAAAAAUGUGAUGGGGAUUUUGAGAAAUAUUCAAUAAAUGGAGAAAAAAUUGGGGUUGCCCAGAUACCAUUGUGGAAAAUAUUGAAUUGAAAAUGAAUACAACAAUAGAGAGAGAACGGAAGGAGGAGUAGAGGGA